rnacentral:rRNA from 1 species
AGAGUUUGAUCCUGGCUCAGGACGAACGCUGGCGGCGUGCUUAACACAUGCAAGUCGAACGGAGUACCCUCGAAAGAGAUUUCGGUCAAUGGAGAGGACUACUUAGUGGCGGACGGGUGAGUAACGCGUGAGGAACCUGCCUUUCAGAGGGGGACAACAGUUGGAAACGACUGCUAAUACCGCAUAACGUACGGGUAUCGCAUGGUACUGGUACCAAAGAUUUAUCGCUGAGAGAUGGCCUCGCGUCUGAUUAGCUAGUUGGUAGGGUAACGGCCUACCAAGGCGACGAUCAGUAGCCGGACUGAGAGGUUGGCCGGCCACAUUGGGACUGAGAUACGGCCCAGACUCCUACGGGAGGCAGCAGUGGGGAAUAUUGGGCAAUGGGCGCAAGCCUGACCCAGCAACGCCGCGUGAAGGAAGAAGGCUUUCGGGUUGUAAACUUCUUUUGACAGGGAAGAGCAGAAGACGGUACCUGUCGAAUAAGCCACGGCUAACUACGCG